UACGUAGGGGGCAAGCGUUGUCCGGAUUUAUUGGGCGUAAAGAGCGUGUAGGCGGUUUGGUAGGUCCGCUGUGAAAACUCGAGGCUCAACCUCGAGACGCCGGUGGAAACCAUCAGGCUAGAGUCCGGAAGAGGAGAGUGGAAUUCCUGGUGUAGCGGUGAAAUGCGCAGAUAUCAGGAAGAACACCCGUGGCUAAGGCGGCUCUCUGGGCCGAUACUGACGCUGAGGAGCGAAAGCGUGGGGAGCGAACAGG
rnacentral:rRNA from 1 species